AACGAACGCUGGCGGCGCGCCUAAUACAUGCAAGUCGAGCGAGAAGACGUAGCAAUACGUUUGUAAAGCGGCGAACGGGUGAGGAAUACAUGGGGUAACCUACCCUAGAGUGGGGAGUAACUAGCCGAAAGGUUAGCUAAUACCGCGUACGCUCCUUGGACUUCGGUUCAGGGAGGAAAGCGAUACCGAGGGUAUCGCGCUCUUGGAUGGGCUCAUGUCCUAUCAGCUUGUUGGGAGGU
rnacentral:rRNA from 1 species